rnacentral:siRNA from 1 species
UGACUGGUCGAGUGGCUGCUCA